rnacentral:misc_RNA from 1 species
GAUGAAGAACGUAGCGAAAUGCGAAAAGUAAUGUGAAUUGCAGAAUUCAGUGAAUCAUCGAAUCUUUGAACGCACAUUGCGCCCGCCAGUAUUCUGGCGGGCAUGCCUGUCUGAGCGUCAUUUCAACCCUCACGCCCCUAGGGCGUGGUGUUGGGGAUCGGCCAAGGCCCGCAAGGGACGGCCGGCCCCUAAAUCUAGUGGCGGACCCAUCGUGGCCUCCCCUGCGAAGUAGUAAUAUAUUCCGCAUCGGAUAGCGAUGAGCCCCUGCCGUUAAACCCCCAACUCUUUCAAGGUUGACCUCAGAUCAGGUAGGAAUACCCGCUGAACUUAAGCAUAUCAAAAGCGGAGGA